GGCGGCGCGCCUAAUACAUGCAAGUCGAGCGAGAAAUCCGGGGCUUGCCCCGGGUGGACAGCGGCGAACGGGUGAGGAACACGUGAGAAACCUGCCCCGAAGACCGGGAUAACACCGGGAAACCGGUGCUAAUACCGGAUGCCCUCACCGGACCGCAUGAUCCGGUGAGGAAAUGGAUUCCGCUUCGGGAUGGUCUCGCGGCCUAUCAGCUUGUUGGUGGGGUAAUGGCCUACCAAGGCUUCGACGGGUAGCUGGUCUGAGAGGAUGUCCAGCCACACUGGGACUGAGACACGGCCCAGACUCCUACGGGAGGCAGCAGUAGGGAAUCUUGCGCAAUGGGCGAAAGCCUGACGCAGCGACGCCGCGUGCGGGAUGAAGGCCUUCGGGUUGUAAACCGCUUUCAGCAGGGACGAAAUUGACGGUACCUGCAGAAGAAGCCCCGGCCAACUACGUGCCAGCAGCCGCGGUAAUACGUANGGGGCAAGCGUUGUCCGGAUUUAUUGGGCGUAAAGAGCUCGUA
rnacentral:rRNA from 1 species